rnacentral:rRNA from 1 species
UAAGGGAUAUUGCACAAUGGCCGCAAGCCUGAUGCAGCAACGCCGCGUGCAUGAUGAAGGCCUUCGGGUCGUAAAAUGCUUUUCUGACUGAAGAGGAAGGACAGUAAGUCAGGAAUAAGUGUCGGCUAACUUCGUG